rnacentral:rRNA from 1 species
GAGUUUGAUCGUGGCUCAGAUUGAACGCUGGCGGCAUGCCUUACACAUGCAAGUCGAACGGUAACAGGUCUUCGGAUGCUGACGAGUGGCGAACGGGUGAGUAAUACAUCGGAACGUGCCCGAUCGUGGGGGAUAACGAAGCGAAAGCUUUGCUAAUACCGCAUAAGAUCUACGGAUGAAAGCAGGGGACCGCAAGGCCUUGCGCGAACGGAGCGGCCGAUGGCAGAUUAGGUAGUUGGUGGGAUAAAAGCUUACCAAGCCGACGAUCUGUAGCUGGUCUGAGAGGACGACCAGCCACACUGGGACUGAGACACGGCCCAGACUCCUACGGGAGGCAGCAGUGGGGAAUUUUGGACAAUGGGCGAAAGCCUGAUCCAGCCAUGCCGCGUGCAGGAUGAAGGCCUCGG